rnacentral:rRNA from 1 species
CAGUCGCCGCGGUAAUACGUAGGUGGCAAGCGUUGUCCGGAAUUAUUGGGCGUAAAGCGCGCGCAGGCGGAUCAGUCAGUCUGUCUUAAAAGUUCGGGGCUUAACCCCGUGAUGGGAUGGAAACUGCUGAUCUAGAGUAUCGGAGAGGAAAGUGGAACUCCUAGUGUAGCGGUGAAAUGCGUAGAUAUUAGGAAGAACACCUGUGGCGAAGGCGACUUUCUGGACGAAAACUGACGCUGAGGCGCGAAAGCCAGGGGAGCGAACGGGAUUAGAUACCCCAGUAGUCCCUGUCUCUUAUACA